rnacentral:rRNA from 1 species
UACGUAGGGUGCAAGCGUUGUCCGGAUUUAUUGGGCGUAAAGAGCUCGUAGGCGGUUUGUCGCGUCGACUGUGAAAGCCCGGGGCUCAACUCCGGGUCGUGCAGUCGAUACGGGCAGACUAGAGUCCGGUAGGGGAGACUGGAAUUCCUGGUGUAGCGGUGAAAUGCGCAGAUAUCAGGAGGAACACCGGUGGCGAAGGCGGGUCUCUGGGCCGAUACUGACGCUGAGGAGCGAAAGCGUGGGGAGCAAACAGG